AGCGAACGCUGGCGGCAGGCCUAACACAUGCAAGUCGAACGAAGCCUUCGGGCUUAGUGGCGGACGGGUGAGUAACACGUGGGAACGUACCUUUUGGUUCGGAAUAACGCAGAGAAAUUUGCGCUAAUACCGAAUGAGCCCUUCGGGGGAAAGAUUUAUCGCCGAAAGAUCGGCCCGCGUUGGAUUAGGUAGUUGGGGUGGUAAAGGCGCACCAAGCCUACGAUCCAUAGCUGGUCUGAGAGGAUGAUCAGCAACACUGGGACUGAGACACGGCCCAGGCUCCUACGGGAGGCAGCAGUGGGGAAUCUUGCGCAAUGGGCGAAAGCCUGACGCAGCCAUGCCGCGUGAAUGAUGAAGGUCUUAGGAUUGUAAAAUUCUUUUACCAGGGACGAUAAUGACGGUACCUGGAGAAAAAGCCCCGGCUAACUUCGUGCCAGCCGCCGCCGUAAAAC
rnacentral:rRNA from 1 species